rnacentral:lncRNA from 1 species
UUUGGUUCAGUGUUGUAGAUAACUUGAGCAUAUGAUUUUACCUUAUCGUUUAUAGGCUCAUAGUUUCGAGUUCUACCAUUUUUAGACAUGAUAUUCUCCUUUUUCCAGCCAUGAUUAUUCCUAUUAUUUUCAACUUCAAAUAUCUUUGGCUUUUGAUCAAAGUCUCCUUUAAACCUUGGAGUCUUUUGCAUCCUUUUAUGAAUAUAUUAUCCAAAGCCACAACCGAGAAUCUAUCAUCUUUCACAUUUCUAAAUAUGACAAAAUCAUAUCCUUUUCCUUUUGUCUCUUCUCGGUGGGAUAACAACUUCAUCAAUGAUUUCAUAAUUUUUGAAAAUAUUGAACAUCUCCUUAGCUCCAUGCAAAUCUCUCUUUCGGGAAAAAAAA